AUCACACCAUAGUCAUACCAGUCAGUGAUGCAGAUAAGGAUGACAUACGAUGUCGAUGGGCUGAAUCAAGUAAAGAUGAAUGCGCCGGUGUGUGUAAGACCUUCACUGGAGCCGUCCUAGAUGAGCGAAAGUGUCAAAUCAAGUAUUCAGCUACAGGAAGG